rnacentral:rRNA from 1 species
AUGUCGACGCCCCCAGAAGCCGCCUUCACAACUGGCAUCCUCCUCAUCCUCGCCCUCUUGAUUUCUGCCGGCCACAGCCAUGCAGCGACGGAGUCGGAGGCCGAGGCGCUCCUAGACUGGAAGGUCAGCCUCCGCGACCCGGACGCGCUCUCCAGCUGGAACAAGGCCGCGGGGCUUUGCUCCUGGCGUGGUGUGUCCUGCAACGACGCCGGCCGCGUCGAAUCGCUCAGGCUGCACGGGCUAGGCCUCGCUGGGACGCUUGACAAGCUCGAUACCAUGGCGCUUCCGGCACUCACUGUGUUCGAUCUCAACGACAACAACUUCGUCGGCUCCAUCCCGGCAAGCCUCUCGCAGCUGCACUACCUCACCGUGCUCGACCUCGGCAGCAAUGGCUUCAAUGGCUCCAUCUCGCCGCAGCUCAGCAACCUCUCUGGCCUGGUUGACCUGCGUCUCUACAACAACAACUUCGUCGGCGACAUCCCGUACCAGCUCAGCAGGCUUCCCAGGAUUGUCCAUUUCGACCUGGGCUCCAACUUUCUCACCAACCCGGAAGGCUACCGCAGGUUCUCACCGAUGCCCACCGUCACCUUCAUGUGGCUCUACCUCAACUACCUCACCGGCAUCUUCCCAAAGUUCGUUCUCGAGAGCGGGAACAUCACCUACCUCGACCUGUCGCAGAACAAUGUCUCCGGACCGAUACCAUACUCGCUGCCAGAGAAGCUCCCCAACAUCAAGUACCUCAACUUGUCCGUCAAUGCCUUCUCCGGCCAGAUACCGGCGUCUCUAUCCAUGCUGGGGAAGCUCCGGGCCUACGGAUUGUAG